UACGGGGGGAGCAAGCGUUGUUCGGAUUUACUGGGCGUAAAGGGCGCGUAGGCGGCAAUUCAAGUCAGUUGUGAAAUCUCCGAGCUUAACUCGGAACGGUCAACUGAUACUGUUUUGCUAGAGUACGGAAGGGGCAAUCGGAAUUCUUGGUGUAGCGGUGAAAUGACGUAGAUAUCAAGAGGAACACCGGUGGCGAAGGCGGAUCUCUGGGCCUGUUCUGACGCUGAGGCGCGAAAGCUAGGGGAGCGAACAGG
rnacentral:rRNA from 1 species